rnacentral:rRNA from 1 species
UACAGGGGGUGCAAACGUUGCUCGGAAUUAUUGGGCGUAAAGCGCGCGUAGGCGGCCACUUAAGUCGGAUGUGAAAGCCCCUGGCUCAACUGGGGAAGUGCACCCGAAACUGAAUGGCUUGAAUGCAAAAGAGGGUCGCGGAAUUCCCGGUGUAGAGGUGAAAUUCGUAGAUAUCGGGAAGGAACACUGAGGCGGAGCGGAAGCCGCUUCCGGUUG